rnacentral:rRNA from 1 species
AUUGAACGCUGGCGGCCGGCCUAACACAUGCAAGUCGAACGAGUGGCGGACGGGUGAGUAAUGUCUGGGAGACUGCCUGAUGUCGGGGGAUAACGACUGGAAGCGGUAGCUCAUACCGCAUACCCUCUGAUGUUCCCAGGUGGGAUUAACUAGUAGGUGGGGGAAAGGCUCACCUCGGCGACGAUCCCUAGAUGGUGUGAGAGGAUGACCAGCCACACUGGAAAGGGGACACGGUCCAGACUCCUACGGGAGGCAGCAGUGGGGAAUAUUGCACCAUGGGCGCAAGCCUGAUGCAGCCAUUCCGCGUGUAUGAAGAAGGCCUUCGGGUUGUAAAGUACUUUCAGCGGGGAGGCGUUACCCGCAGAAGAAGCACCGGCUAACUCCGUGCUAGCAGCCGCGGUAAUAC